rnacentral:rRNA from 1 species
AUUGAACGCUGGCGGCAGGCCUAACACAUGCAAGUCGAGCGGAUGAAGGGAGCUUGCUCCUGGAUUCAGCGGCGGACGGGUGAGUAAUGCCUAGGAAUCUGCCUGGUAGUGGGGGAUAACGUCCGGAAACGGGCGCUAAUACCGCAUACGUCCUGAGGGAGAAAGUGGGGGAUCUUCGGACCUCACGCUAUCAGAUGAGCCUAGGUCGGAUUAGCUAGUUGGUGGGGUAAAGGCCCACCAAGGCGACGAUCCGUAACUGGUCUGAGAGGAUGAUCAGUCACACUGGAACUGAGACACGGUCCAGACGACUACGGGAGGCAGCAGUGGGGAAUAUUGGACAAUGGGCGAAAGCCUGAUCCAGCCAUGCCGCGUGUGUGAAGAAGGUCUUCGGAUUGUAAAGCACUUUAAGUUGGGAGGAAGGGCAGUAAGUUAAUACCUUGCUGUUUUGACGUUACCAACAGAAUAAGCACCGGCUAACUUCGUG